rnacentral:tRNA from 1 species
GCCUCGAUGGUGAAAUUGGUAGACACGCUGGUCUUAGAAGCCAGUGCUUUAUGCGUGACGGUUCGAGUCCGUCUUGAGGCACCA